GACGCGGGUUCCGCGCCCGCGCCGCUGCCACGUGCCGCCGCGGGGCGGUGUCCGGGAGCGGCUGCCCGCUGUGCCGCGCUGCCCUCGGGGAACGCCGCGGCUAGGAGACUACCCUUCCAGUUGAGGCUAAGUGGACCAGUCCCUUUGAAUAUUCCUUUAUUAAAAACAGAGCCAGAAUGCUACACCAGUACAAGAAUGGACACUUUGAGUAUAGCAAACCAAUUGUAGGAUUUGUCCUCAACCUCAUCCAACAGAGAAGUGACUAUGAAAGAAAAAGAUGCCUUCUGGCCUCAUCAUGUUUCUGGACCAUCCAAACAUACAAGUUCUGCAUUUAGCUCUUCAGAUGUGAUCCCAACAAUUGUCUUCAGCUUCUAGCAAGAGAAAUACAAAUGUAUUGAAUACUCCUCGUAUGAGCCAAACAGAGACUCCAGAAGUAUCCAAUUAAAAGUUCAAAGCACAACUCUUCCUUAACAGUUCCAACAAGAAUGCAAAGACCAUUACUCUUCACAUUGAAGGACUAGAUAAUGUGCCUAUCAGAAGUCUUUGUGAAGAAGUUUUGUUGAAAGUCAGUGGAGUAAAUCAGUUUUAAUUUCAGUCGUCUCUUAAGUAGUAAGAGUAAAAUCAGAUCUUGUAACAGAGCUGGUUUGAGUAAUCAAAACGUUCAGAUCCAAGCAACUCUGUACAGCAUACAAUACCAAAACAUGAUACUUCUAAACUGAAACACUGCACAUCUUAAACUUGGGAAGAUGGAUCCUAGAGUCACGCCAAUUACCUAACACUGCUUUAAGGUAACAAUAGUAUAGCAAUGAAAGGGAGCAGAGAAAGACUUACAAAGGUGCCUCUCGGC